rnacentral:rRNA from 1 species
GAUGAACGCUGGCGGCGUGCCUAAUACAUGCAAGUUGAGCGAAUGGAUUAAGAGCUUGCUCUUAUGAAGUUAGCGGCGGACGGGUGAGUAACACGUGGGUAACCUGCCCAUAAGACUGGGAUAACUCCGGGAAACCGGGGCUAAUACCGGAUAACAUUUUGAACCGCAUGGUUCGAAAUUGAAAGGCGGCUUCGGCUGUCACUUAUGGAUGGACCCGCGUCGCAUUAGCUAGUUGGUGAGGUAACGGCUCACCAAGGCAACGGUGCGUAGCCGACCUGGGAGGGUGAUCGGCCACACUGGGACUGAGACACGGCCCAGACUCCUACGGGAGGCAGCAGUAGGGAAUCUUCCGCAAUGGACGAAAGUCUGACGGAGCAACGCCGCGUGAGUGAUGAAGGCUUUCGGGUCGUAAAACUCUGUUGUUAGGGAAGAACAAGUGCUAGUUGAAUAAGCUGGCACCUUGACGGUACCUAACCAGAAAGCCACGGCUAACUACGUGCCAGCCGCCGCAGUAA